AUUGAACGCUGGCGGCAUGCUUUACACAUGCAAGUCGAACGGUAACAGGCCGCAAGGUGCUGACGAGUGGCGAACGGGUGAGUAAUGCAUCGGAACGUGCCCAGUCGUGGGGGAUAACGCAGCGAAAGCUGUGCUAAUACCGCAUACGAUCUAUGGAUGGAAGCGGGGGACCGUAAGGCCUCGCGAGAUUGGAGCGGCCGAUGUCAGAUUAGGUAGUUGGUGGGGUAAAGGCCUACCAAGCCGACGAUCUGUAGCUGGUCUGAGAGGACGACCAGCCACACUGGGACUGAGACACGGCCCAGACUCCUACGGGAGGCAGCAGUGGGGAAUUUUGGACAAUGGGCGCAAGCCUGACCCAGCAAUGCCGCGUGCAGGAAGAAGGCCUUCGGGUUGUAAACUGCUUUUGUACGGAACGAAACGGUCUGGGUUAAUACCCUGGGCUAAUGACGGUACCGUAAGAAUAAGCACCGGCUAACUACGUGCCAGCAGCCGCUGUAACAC
rnacentral:rRNA from 1 species